CAAAGAUUGUAUCCUCGUAUGAGUGAUUCUACAGUAAUAAACAGAAGCAUAUGGCAAAAAAAAAGGGUAACCAAAAUCAUAUCGUUAAAACUUUACAACUCUGUAACUUUGCAACUUUGCAAUCUAGGGCUGCUGGAUCAGUGAGUCCCUCCAGUGGGUUUGGACUGGGGCUGGUGGUGUCCCUGCCAGUCAGGUGCCAGGCGGGCAGUCGGCUGCAGUUCUUGGCACAAAUGGUACCACACUGGAUGGGUCCCAUCUGUGGGCGCGAUUUGAGUCCGCUGGGGCUGCCGUCACC